rnacentral:rRNA from 1 species
GGGUCAGUAGGUUGGUCGUGCCACCGGUACGUACUGGUCUCACUGACUCCUCCUUCCUGAAGAACCGUAAUGCCAUUAAUUUGGUGUUGCGGGGUAACAGGACUGUUACUUUGAAAAAAUUAGAGUGUUUAAAGCAAGCUAACGCUUGAAUACAUUAGCAUGGAAUAAUGAAAUAGGACGAUCGAUCCUAUUUUGUUGGCUUCUAGGAUUGACGUA